CUACGGGUCGCAGCAGUAGGGAAUAUUGGGCAAUGGGCGCAAGCCUGACCCAGCAACGCCGCGUGCGCGAAGAAGGCCUUCGGGUCGUAAAGCGCUUUUCUGAGGGAUGAGAAAGGACAGUACCUCAGGAAUAAGCCUCGGCUAACUACGUGCCAGCAGCCGCGGUAAAACGUAGGAGGCGAGCGUUAUCCGGAUUUACUGGGCGUAAAGCGUGUGCAGGCGGUCUGGCAAGUUGGAUGUGAAAGCUCCCGGCUCAACUGGGAGAGGUCGUUCAAAACUACCGGACUAGAGUGUAUCAGAGGGAGAUGGAAUUCCCGGUGUAGUGGUGAAAUGCGUAGAUAUCGGGAGGAACACCAGUGGCGAAAGCGAUCUUCUGGGAUACUACUGACGCUCAGACACGAAAGCUAAGGUAGCGAACGGGAUUAGAUACCCUUGUAGUC
rnacentral:rRNA from 1 species